rnacentral:rRNA from 1 species
AAAGAAAGCGUAAUAGCUCGACUGGUCGAGUCGCCGCGCGGAAGAUGUAACGGGGCUAAACCAUGCACCGAAGCUGCGGCAGCGACACUUAUGUGUUGUUGGGUAGGGGAGCGUUCUGUAAGCCUGCGAAGGUGUACUGUGAGGUAUGCUGGAGGUAUCAGAAGUGCGAAUGCUGACAUAAGUAACGAUAAUGCGGGUGAAAAACCCGCACGCCGGAAGACCAAGGGUUCCUGUCCAACGUUAAUCGGGG